CAAGCAUGCAAACGAUCUGAUAAUCAAUUGGAAAGUGAAAAGUGCAAAAGUACAACUCUGAGAGUGUUUCAAACUCAAAUGCCAUUUUAAAGACGGACGAGAAAGAAAAGGGAGUAAAAGAAGGAGUAAAACUGAAAAAAGAACAGAGUUGGCUAGUUUGGGAUAGAACCCACAUGUGGUGUAAACUGGUCUGAUGUGUUCCAGUCUCCUGUGAUAGGGGGCGCUGUUUCUAAAAUGAGUCACUCAGGAGAGCCAGACACCAAAGGAGGAACCCUCAGCACUAACAGAAAGAGGGUCCAGGAGGAAAGAGCAGGGUCACCUGUACCCAGCUGUCUGUCUAUGAAGAGUGAUCGUUCAAUGGAUUAUCCAAUUAACUUCAAAGGGGAAUUCACAGCUGAUUCAAGGUAAUUACACAGGUUCAUACUGACACUACUGUUUAAUUCUACUUCAAUCUGGCUGGUAUCGUUCACGUGUAGGUGGGGGUAUUAUGUCACUUUCAGAUGUGCAGUGAGUUAGAGCUGCAGUAAGAGGAUGAGUUUAACUGGAAGCUCUGUCUCCAUGUGCUGUG